UCCUGUUUUCCAUCCACAUCAAUAACAAAUAAUGCAAUGCGUCAUCUUAGUGAACACUAAUGCAAUACACCCUAGUAUAACAUGGCAUUUAUGAUGCAUGAAUCAUGCUAAAAACUUCAGUUAUUUAAAAUCAUUGUUUUGUUCCACUCACCUCUAGCAACUGCUGAACAAUCUCUGUAUCUCUAACUCUGUGGGCCUCCUUGGUUCCUCGGGUCCCCACCUACAAAGGUGGACUCAAAUGAGGUACCGAACAUACUCUAACAUAGCUAUGAAC
rnacentral:lncRNA from 1 species